AAUAUUGGACAAUGGGGGCAACCCUGAUCCAGCCAUGCCGCGUGUGUGAAGAAGGUCUUCGGAUUGUAAAGCACUUUAAGUUGGGAGGAAGGGCUUUAGGCUAAUACCCUGAAGUUUUGACGUUACCAACAGAAUAAGCACCGGCUAACUCUGUGCCAGCAGCCGCGGUAAUACAGAGGGUUCAAGCGUUAAUCGGAAUUACUGGGCGUAAAGGGCGGGUAAGUGGGUUCGUAAGAUUGGUGUGAAAUCCCCGGGCUUAACCUUGGAAAUUGUUUCAUAACCGCUGGGGUAGAGUACGGUAGAGGGUAGGGGAAUUUCCGUUGUAGCGGUGAAAUGCGUAGAUAAUGGAAGGAAACACCGUGGCGAAGGCGACUACCUGGACUGAUACUGACACUGAGGUGCGAAAGCGUGGGGAGCAAACA
rnacentral:rRNA from 1 species